CACAGAGGGUGCGAGCGUUAAUCGGAAUUACUGGGCGUAAAGCGUGCGUAGACGGUUAUUUAAGUCGGAUGUGAAAGCCCCGGGCUCAACCUGGGAAUUGCAUUCGAGACUGAAUAGCUAGGGUACGGUAGAGGGAAGUGGAAUUUCCGGUGUAGCGGUGAAAUGCGUAGAUAUCAGGAGGAACACCGAUGGCGAAGGCAGAUCUCUGGGCCGUAACUGACGCUGAGGAGCGAAAGCAUGGGGAGCGAACAGG
rnacentral:rRNA from 1 species